rnacentral:ribozyme from 1 species
GGUGUGCGUAGACACUACCUUCACGUGGUGCACUCUGGGCAACGUAUACUCAUACGGCAAAAAAGUUUAU